UACGUAGGGUGCGAGCGUUAAUCGGAAUUACUGGGCGUAAAGCGUGCGCAGGCGGUUUUGGAAGUCUGACGUGAAAUCCCCGGGCUUAAACUGGGAAUUGCGUUGGAGACUGCAAGGCUGGAGUCUGGCAGAGGGGGGUAGAAUUCCACGUGUAGCAGUGAAAUGCGUAGAGAUGUGGAGGAACACCGAUGGCGAAGGCAGCCCCCUGGGUCAAGACUGACGCUCAUGCACGAAAGCGUGGGGAGCAAACAGG
rnacentral:rRNA from 1 species